CCUUCUAUACUUUCAGGGAUCAUUUCUAUAGUGUGUAACUUGGAAAUGUGAUUUGAAUGUCUCUCUAAACAUGGUGAUGAUUUAUGAUGUACUUUUUUAACAUGAAUCAUAUUUUAGCUCAUGAUCUAAUUCAUUGGCUUCAAUAAUUGAUGACUUGAUGACUGUUUUUAAUGAAGUAUGAGAGGAAUAGUACAUGAGCAUGAGUGAU